rnacentral:rRNA from 1 species
AUUGAACGCUGGCGGCAGGCCUAACACCUGCACGUCGAACGAGUGGCGGACGGGUGAGUAAUGUCUGGGUAACUGCCUGAUGGAGGGGGAUAACUACUGGAAACGGUAGCUAAUCCCGCAUACCAUCGGAUGUGCCCAGAUGGGAGUAGCUCUUAGGUGGGGUAAAGGCUCACCGAGGCGACGAUCCCUAGCUGGUCUGAGAGGAUGACCAGCAACACUGGAACUGAGACACGGUCCAGAAUCCUACGCGAGGCAGCAGUGGGGAAUAGUGCACGAUGGGCGCGAGCCUGAUGCAGCCAUGCCGCGUAUAUGAAGAAGGGCUUCGGGUUGGAAAGUACUGACAGCGGGGAGGCGUUACCCGCAGAAGAAGCACCGGCUAACUCGGUGCCAGCAGCCGCGGUAAUUC